CCUACGGGAGGCAGCAGUGAGGAAUAUUGGUCAAUGGGCGCAAGCCUGAACCAGCCAAGUCGCGUGCGGGAUGACGGUCCUAUGGAUUGUAAACCUCUUUUGUCGGGGAGCAAGGCCCGCCACGUGUGGCGGGAAGGAGAGUACCCGAAGAAAAAGCAUCGGCUAACUCCGUGCCAGCAGCCGCGGUAAUACGGAGGAUGCGAGCGUUAUCCGAAUUUAUUGGGUUUAAAGGGUGCGUAGGCGGAAGGUUAAGUCAGCGGUAAAAUGUCGGUGCUCAACACCGGCCUGCCGUUGAAACUGGUCUUCUUGAGUGAGCGAGAAGUAUGCGGAAUGCGUGGUGUAGCGGUGAAAUGCAUAGAUAUCACGCAGAACUCCGAUUGCGAAGGCAGCAUACCGGCGCUCAACUGACGCUGAGGCACGAAAGCGUGGGGAUCGAACAGGAUUAGAUACCCUUGUAGUC
rnacentral:rRNA from 1 species